UCUGGAGGUGCUGGGUGGAGGUGCUCGGCAAGGGUUCAGUCUCACCCUGGGUGGCUCCCCCAGGCUCCCUAAUCUGGGGAGUGGGGGGGACCAUAUCCACAGCAGGAAGCUCCACCCAAGGUCCAGGUCCGAUGGGGUGACGAGCUCGGGGACCCCGAACAGGGCCUGCCAGGCGGGCAGCGCUCAGCCCCCCGGUUGCUCAGUGCUCUGGGGGGCCGAGUGGGAGCUGCUGCACAGAAUGGAAGGCAGGUGCUUGGAGAGAGUGAUGGGAAUGAUGGCCUGGAGAGCUCAGCUGGAAGUGGGACCUGGCAACUCAGACGUGAGCCGGUGGAUGGAGCCUGGAGGGAACUAAAGCUAUUUCGGGGAGAAGCUCAACAGUGAAUGACUUUAAGAUAAGAAAUCAGAUAAACCAUCUAUCUGAUAACUGCCACAUUGGGCUUUAUUAAUCUAUAGCACUAGGUGCAAGGAGGUCUCUGUAAAUUCUGCUACCUUCAAGAUGCAUGGAAUGUUUAUUGAAGGCCUUGCAAUCGUGUUCUAACAACCGUGUCUAGUUUUAAAGAUUCAUUUUCAAACACUAAGAUCCUUGAUCAUCAUAAUUGCAUUCCAUAUCUCUGAAGAACGCCAGAUUCAUAAUAGAACAGAGGAAGUGUGUCUAGAGGCGCGCUCUGAGAAAACAAUGGAAGAAAGCCCAGAAACAAUGUCCUUUUCAUGUUGCUUUCUAAGCCUAACUGCUCUGCGAUCGGGAGCACAGCACACUUGCAAGAGGAAUUGAAAAAUGGACCCGGUACCUCGAAACUGAAAAGUCCAUGAAGGAAGGUUGGCUUGUCAAAUGGGAUUUUCCUUUCCCAUCUAGAGAACAUUGAUAAUUUUUCCUUGUCCAGAUGACACAAAGGCCCUCUGCUUUUUCUUCAUCCGUAUAUUGUGCAUUUAGAAGAAAAUUACUUCACCCUUUAGAAUUGCUCCCUUUAUGUUGUAAAUCACAGUGACUGAAGAGGAGUCCUGAUCCCCUUUGCAUGCCUGAGACUAGAUUUUAUCAGGAAAUGUUUCAUCACAUUCUUUUCCUGUCAUUAGAGUCAAUUAUCAUGUAUAUUUAUGCAUUCCUUUGUAUGAAAGUGCGGUUUGGGUCUGAAAAGAGCCUGUACAGAAGGGCAUUUCUAAUUAGACAGCCUAUGUGUCUCCUGACUCAUAAAUGGCUAAAUAAAAUUAUAUAGACCUAUACUGGACAAGCCCGUAAAAGCAAGUCUCUGCUGCUUAGCGAUGCUUAGCUCAUAGACCUGAUGAGCCGGCAGCUGCAUUCCUUUCCACCUCACACAUCACCAGCCAAACCUCCAGCCAAGCUCAGAUCCCGCAGAUUAUUAUUGGUAAUGAUGUUUAAAGCAAAAAUGGUUGGAGCAGAGCACCCUUGGCUUCUAAUUUGGCAGUUAGAGCAAUCUUGUUAUGACUUGUAAACUUUGCAGUUAAUGUGCAGGAGCUUUAACAUGGGAAUGAUGUGGAGGGCUGAAGGCCGAGGUGCACAUUUAAUGCCUUGAAUCCGGUCUGUGAUCGGAAACGAGCAUUCCUAAAUGUCCAGCCCAAAGACAAAAAUUGUCCCUCCUUUGAAUCUGGGGGGUAAAGACGUCUGGCAGAUUUCAAAGCCUGUUGCCCUAUCUCUGGAAGGUGGUUUUAUUCUUUUAGGUUAAAUAAAUAAAUAAAUAAAU